CCGCCGCCGCGGAGCCCUGCGGCGCUUUGGAGCGCGGCCUCCGAGGGAACGCGCCCCUCUGGAAAUAGAUCUACUGUCCUAAGUUGUCAGAACUGAUAAAUGCAAGUGAACCAAGUAAGAACGCAGGACGUGUGCUAGGGCACGGAAACC